GACGAACGCUGGCGGCGUGCUUAACACAUGCAAGUCGAACGGAAAGGCCCUGCUUUUGUGGGGUGCUCGAGUGGCGAACGGGUGAGUAACACGUGAGUAACCUGCCCUUGACUUUGGGAUAACUUCAGGAAACUGGGGCUAAUACCGGAUAGGAGCUCCUGCUGCAUGGUGGGGGUUGGAAAGUUUCGGCGGUUGGGGAUGGACUCGCGGCUUAUCAGCUUGUUGGUGGGGUAGUGGCUUACCAAGGCGUUGACGGGUAGCCGGCCUGAGAGGGUGAACGGCCACAUUGGGACCGGGACACGGCCCAGACUCCUACGGGAGGCAGCAGUGGGGAAUAUUGCACAAUGGGAGGAAGCCUGAUGCAGCAACGCCGCGUGCGGGAUGACUGCCUUCGGGUUGUAAACCGCUUUCGCCUGUGACGAAGCGUGAGUGACGGUAAUGUGUAAAGAAGCACCGGCUAACUACGUG
rnacentral:rRNA from 1 species